GAGUACACGAGCGGCGAACGGGUGAGUAACACGUGGGUGACCUGCCCUCAGCUCUGGGAUAAGCCUGGGAAACUGGGUCUAAUACCGGAUAUGACCUGCUGUUGCAUGACAGUGGGUGGAAAGUUUUUCGGCUGGGGAUGGGCCCGCGGCCUAUCAGCUUGUUGGUGGGGUGAUGGCCUACCAAGGCGACGACGGGUAGCCGGCCUGAGAGGGCGACCGGCCACACUGGGACUGAGAUACGGCCCAGACUCCUACGGGAGGCAGCAGUGGGGAAUAUUGCGCAAUGGGCGAAAGCCUGACGCAGCGACGCCGCGUGGGGGAUGACGGCCUUCGGGUUGUAAACCUCUUUCGACCGGGACGAAGGGUGACUGACGGUACCGGUAGAAGAAGCACCGGCCAACUACGUGCCAGCAGCCGCGGUAAUACGUAGGGUGCGAGCGUUGUCCGGAAUUAUUGGGCGUAAAGAGCUCGUAGGCGGUGUGUCACGUCGGUCGUGAAAACUUGGGGCUUAACCCUGAGCGUGCGGUCGAUACGGGCAUCACUUGAGUUCGGCAGGGGAGACUGGAAUUCCUGGUGUAGCGGUGAAAUGCGCAGAUAUCAGGAGGAACACCGGUGGCGAAGGCGGGUCUCUGGGCCGAUACUGACGCUGAGGAGCGAAAGCGUGGGGAGCGAACAGGAUUAGAUACCCUGGUAGUCCACGCCGUAAACGGUGGGCACUAGGUGUG
rnacentral:rRNA from 1 species